AUGGGCGUGUGCGCACCCAUCUUUGGGUGGGGCCUAGGCCCAGACUGGAGCCCAGGGAACAGGCAGGGGAAGUGGAGGAGCAUGCUGGUGGUGAGCUGGAGGUCAGGACAGGAGGUCAGCACAGAGGAGGGGGCUACACCUCGCUGGUCCUCCCCCUCCCCCUCCCCGGUGGCACCACAAGGCACGCAGCCGCAUAUCACCCGUGCCAGCCCUCACCUCCCGGCAACGUCGCCGCAUUCUCAGCCACGCCAUCUGGCGUGCCCGCCGCUCCCCAGAACACUGCGGCGGGUGGGGGGAGGGGGCAGCGGGGCAGGUGCCCACCCCAGAGCCAGGAAGAAGUGGCAGGUCCCCCUCCCCCAAGGACUGCUGGAGUUGGUUUCAGUAUUUUCAGUACUUUUUGCAGCAGGAGGAGAAUGCUUGAGUCUCCUCCAGGAAUUUGGGCUAUUCCCAGCCCAGCCUGCUCUUCCCUCAAAUAAGCAAGUCAGAAGGUCAGGAGAAAAAGCCACUGGUGGGAUGGUCAUUUGUCUAGCAAGAUGGUGGGUGCAGAGGCUCAUCCCAGGGGUUCCUCUCCACCCUCACCCAAAUGUACAUAUACCCCCCAAACACCCGAGGAAGUCUCUCCCAUCAGCUGACUCCAGAUAUACACACGUCCCCACAGACACACACACGCCCAUGCAGAGGCACAGACAUCCAGGCAAGUCUUUCCUUUUCUCUGUCUUUCCCUUGGUUUGAAUUUCGUGCAGCCACAUAUGUUGUGUGUGCGUGAGAGUGGGUGGGGGAGGGGCAGACAGGGAUGAG
rnacentral:lncRNA from 1 species